CAGGUUCUAGGGAUCUAAUGCUUGUGAUAAUCUACAGCAGAUGACCAUGACAAUCCAGGUUCUGUGGAUCGACUGCUUAUGCUAAUCUACUUCAGGUGACCAUAACAAUCCAGGUACUGUGAACUACUGCUUGUGAUAAUCUACAGCAGAUGACCAUAACAAUCCAGAUAACUUCAGGAUUUAUAGAAGGCAUAUAAUGACAGUGAGCGGGACCAAAACUCUGACAAUCUAAGUCACCUAUAGGCAGCAUAAGUAAUCUAUAUGACUCAAGUUGCUAAAAUAAUGUCUAGAUGUGUAACGAAUACCUUGCAUGUACAGAGCUAUGUUCUGAAUCUGAUAUACUCCGCUUGUAUUCCCACUGUCAGAUGAACAUUUUAAAAAAUAAAUAUUUUUGCAUUUCCCCAGAAUGUCUUUUUCUGUUUCAUUGAAGGUACAAAAUAAAGUACUGUUUUUUAAUAUUGCGUAUUUAUUUUACAUGUAAAGAAUUUAACAGGAAAUUAUUGUAGGCCUGUGACCUGAUAGAUUCAAAUAACUGCUAAUUACUUUUAAUUAACAGUAUUGUAGGUUUUAAAUGUAGCUACUUUUGGUG